GAGGCCUUGGCCAGUUUUGACCUGCGUGGCUCACACGGCCUUUCCCGUGACCCCAUGCCACUCAGAGACGAGGAGAACGGGUAUCGAUCUUCUGGACGGCACGGUGACGGAUUCCGUGGAGGCCACAUCUCUGACCUUCAACAAUGACUUCAUUGAUGUGUACGUGUGCUGCUGAGGCACGCGGGACGACGGACAGGAAAUGGCCGGGGACACUCACACAGAAAGCACUGAGGCUGGGCAAGGGGCAAGGUGACAGUGUCCAAUCUAGGGGACGGUUGUGUCACCGACUUUGCGGGGACAUCCAGUGCUGCACCCAUCCCGGCUGGGAUUCUGGCCCUUGUCUUGGAGAACAAGUAAGCCAAGGUCAUCCUCUCCCCUCCUGAACCUUACUCAACUGUUGCGUCAUUUUCUCUACUAUCGUUUUUUCAUCUGCAUUCCAUGCGGUUUAGGUAGUUCGCUUUGUAUUUAUUAGCGGCCUUAGUUUCCCAUCUUUAUGUCUAAGUUCAAGUAGCUCCCUUUCUCUCUGUGUCUAUUUGUGCAAGUGUUUUUUCUCUCUCUCUUCUCUCUCUCUCUCUCUCUCUCUCUCUCUCUCUCUCUCUCUCUCUCUCUCAAAUAUAGAUGGCUUUAUUGGCACGAAGUACAAUUUGGAGAUAUUGCCAAAGCAACAUUGUAGUACAGUGUUUCAGUAAAUAAUGAAUAAAGGAUAAUGAAAUACAGUUUAUUUCAGUAGUGGGGCGGCAGGUAGCCUAGCAGUUAAGAGCGCUGGACCAGUAACCCAAAGAUCGUUGGUUCGAAUCCUCGAGAUGACUAGGUGAAGUCUGUCCAUGUGCCCUUCAGCAAGGCACUUAACCCUAAUUGCUCCAGUAAGUCGCUCUGGGUAAGAGUGUUUACUAAAAUGUAAUAAUUAUAGUUCAUUGUAGUAGUAGUAAUAAUAAUACUACAUACUGUAUAAUCACUACUGUUGUUGUAUUGUGUCGU